rnacentral:tRNA from 1 species
CGGGGCGUGGCGCAGCCUGGUAGCGCACUUGCAUGGGGUGCAAGGGGUCCCGAGUUCGGUGCAAGGGGUCCCGAGUUCGAAUCCCGGCGCCCCGA